GAUGAACGCUGGCUACAGGCUUAACACAUGCAAGUCGAGGGGAAACGACGGGGAAGCUUGCUUCCCCGGGCGUCGACCGGCGCACGGGUGAGUAACGCGUAUCCAACCUGCCUCUGACUGAGGGAUAACCCGUCGAAAGUCGGCCUAAUACCUCAUGGUAUCGUCUGCGGGCAUCCAACGACGAUUAAAGAUUUCAUCGGUCAGGGAUGGGGAUGCGUCUGAUUAGCGUGUUGGCGGGGUAACGGCCCACCAAGGCUACGAUCACUAGGGGUUCUGAGAGGAAGGCCCCCCACAAUGGAACUGAGACCCGGACCAAACUGCUACGGGAGGGAGGAGUGAGGAAUAUUGGGGAAGGGGCGAGAGCCUGAACCAGCCAAGUAGCGUGCAGGAAGACGGCCCUAUGGGUUGUAAACUGCUUUUAUGCGGGGAUAAAGUGAGGGACGUGUCCCUAAUUGCAGGUACCGAAUGAAUAAGGACCGGCUAAUUCCGUG
rnacentral:rRNA from 1 species